rnacentral:rRNA from 1 species
GACGAACGCUGGCGGCGUGCUUAACACAUGCAAGUCGAACGGAAAGGCCCUGCUCUUGCGGGGUGCUCGAGUGGCGAACGGGUGAGUAAAACGCGAGUAACCUGCACUUGACUUUCGGAGAACAUCUGGAAACUGGGGCUAAUACCGGAUAGGAGCUCUUGCUGCAUGGGGGGGGUUGGAGAGUUUCGGCGGUUGGGGAUGGACUCGCGGCUUAUCAGCUUGUUGGUGGGGUAGUGGCUUACCAAGGCUUUGACGGGUAGCCGGCCUGAGAGGGUGACCGGCCACCUUGGGACUGCGAUACGGCCCAGACUCCUACGGGAGGCAGCAGUGGGGAAUAUUGCACAAUGGGCGGAAGCCUGAUGCAGCAACGCCGCGUGCGGGAUACCGGCUUUCGGGUUGUAAACCGCUUUCGCCUGUGACGAAGCGUGAGUGACGGUAAUGAGUAAAGAAGCACCGGCUAACUACGUG